UAGAUUGAAGCCAGUGUGUUAGGGUAUUUAGCUGUUAACUAAAAUUUCGUGGGAUCGAAGCCCACCAGUCUAG
rnacentral:tRNA from 1 species